AGUGACGCGCUGCUGUGGCGCGCCGGCGGACGUGACGCCACUGUCGCUGCGACGAUAAGGCCUGGCGUUAUUGCUUAGAGGCGGCUACCUGGAGCCGGAAGCGCGGCUGCAGCAGGGCGAGGCUCCAGGUGGGGUCGGUUCCGCAUCCAGCCUAGCGUGUCCACGAUGCGGCUGGGCUCCGGGACUUUCGCUACCUGUUGCGUAGCGAUCGAGGUGCUAGGGAUCGCGGUCUUCCUUCGGGGAUUCUUCCCGGCUCCCGUUCGUUCCUCUGCCAGAGCGGAACACGGAGCGGAGCCCCCAGCGCCCGAACCCUCGGCUGGAGUCAGUUCUAACUGGACCACGCUGCCACCACCUCUCUUCAGUAAAGUUGUUAUUGUUCUGAUAGAUGCCUUGAGAGAUGAUUUUGUGUUUGGGUCAAAGGGUGUGAAAUUUAUGCCCUACACAACUUACCUUGUGGAAAAAGGAGCAUCUCACAGUUUUGUGGCUGAAGCAAAGCCACCUACAGUUACUAUGCCUCGAAUCAAGGCAUUGAUGACGGGGAGCCUUCCUGGCUUUGUCGACGUCAUCAGGAAUCUCAAUUCUCCUGCACUGCUGGAAGACAGUGUGAUAAGACAAGCAAAAGCAGCUGGAAAAAGAAUAGUCUUUUAUGGAGAUGAAACCUGGGUUAAAUUAUUCCCAAAGCAUUUUGUGGAAUAUGAUGGAACAACCUCAUUUUUUGUGUCAGAUUACACAGAGGUGGAUAAUAAUGUCACGAGGCAUUUGGAUAAAGUAUUAAAAAGAGGAGAUUGGGACAUAUUAAUCCUCCACUACCUGGGGCUGGACCACAUUGGCCACAUUUCAGGGCCCAACAGCCCCCUGAUUGGGCAGAAGCUGAGCGAGAUGGACAGCGUGCUGAUGAAGAUCCACACCUCACUGCAGUCGAAGGAGAGAGAGACGCCUUUACCCAAUUUGCUGGUUCUUUGUGGUGACCAUGGCAUGUCUGAAACAGGAAGUCACGGGGCCUCCUCCACCGAGGAGGUGAAUACACCUCUGAUUUUAAUCAGUUCUGCGUUUGAAAGGAAACCCGGUGAUAUCCGACAUCCAAAGCACGUCCAACAGACGGAUGUGGCUGCGACACUGGCGAUAGCACUUGGCUUACCGAUUCCAAAAGACAGCGUCGGGAGCCUCCUAUUCCCAGUUGUGGAAGGAAGACCAAUGAGAGAGCAGUUGAGAUUUUUACAUUUGAAUACAGUGCAGCUUAGUAAACUGUUGCAAGAGAAUGUGCCGUCAUAUGAAAAAGAUCCUGGGUUUGAGCAGUUUAAAAUGUCAGAAAGAUUGCAUGGGAACUGGAUCAGACUGUACUUGGAGGAAAAGCAUUCAGAAGUCCUAUUCAACCUGGGCUCCAAGGUUCUCAGGCAGUACCUGGAUGCUCUGAAGACGCUGAGCUUGUCCCUGAGUGCACAAGUGGCCCAGUAUGACAUCUAUUCGAUGAUGGUGGGGACUGUCGUGGUUUUGGAGGUUCUCACCCUGCUCCUGCUCAGCGUCCCACAGGCACUGCGCAGAAAGGCUGAGCUGGAAGUCCCACUGUCAUCUCCUGGGUUUUCUCUGCUCUUUUAUUUGGUGAUCCUGGUUCUUUCGGCCGUUCACGUCAUUGUGUGCACCUCAGCUGAAAGUUCGUGCUACUUCUGUGGCCUCUCGUGGCUGGCGGCAGGUGGGGUGAUGGUGCUGGCCUCGGCGCUGCUGUGUGUGACUGUGUCUGUUCUGACCAACGUGCUCGUGGGUGGAAACACCCCAAGGAAGAACCCCGUGCAUCCCAGCUCAAGGUGGUCAGAGCUAGACCUUCUUAUUCUGUUGGGGACGGCGGGCCACGUCUUGAGCCUGGGCGCCAGCAGCUUCGUGGAGGAGGAGCACCAGACCUGGUACUUCCUCGUGAACACCCUGUGUCUAGCUCUGAGCCAAGAAACCUACAGAAACUACUUUCUGGGAGAUGACGGUGAGCCUCCGUGUGGCCUCUGUGUGGAACAAGGGCAUGACGGGGCCACAGCAGCGUGGCAGGACGGGCCUGGCUGUGAUGUCCUGGAGCGAGACAAAGGCCACGGAAGCCCCUCUACCUCCGAAGUGCUCAGAGGCCGCGAGAAGUGGAUGGUGCUGGCCAGUCCGUGGCUAAUACUGGCCUGCUGCCGGCUGCUGCGCUCCCUAAACCAGACAGGUGUGCAGUGGGCUCACCGGCCUGACCUCGGCCAUUGGCUCACCAGCUCUGACCACAAAGCGGAGCUCUCUGUCCUGGCUGCCCUCUCCCUCCUCAUAGUUUUUGUGCUGGUGCAGAGGGGGUGCUCCCCUGUGUCCAAGGCUGCCCUGGCGCUGGGGCUGCUGGGCGUCUACUGCUACCGGGCGGCCAUCGGGAGUGUCCGGUUCCCGUGGCGGCCGGACAGCAAGGACAUUUCCAAGGGUAUUAUUGAAGCUCGUUUUGUUUAUGUCUUUGUCCUUGGCAUUCUGUUCACGGGCACCAAAGACUUACUUAAAUCUCAAGUCAUUGCUGCAGACUUCAAACUCAAGACUGUAGGUUUAUGGGAGAUAUAUAGUGGAUUAGUUCUUCUGGCAGCCUUGCUCUUUAGACCACAUAAUCUUCCGGUCUUAGCAUUUAGCCUCUUGAUUCAGACUCUAAUGACUAAAUUCAUCUGGAAGCCCCUGAGACACGAUGCAGCAGAGAUUACUGUGAUGCAUUAUUGGUUUGGUCAAGCAUUCUUCUAUUUUCAGGUAGGUUUUCAUUAUUAUCAUGGGUAGUAGACUUCAUGUUUUACAUAUUUAUUUUAAAUUUUUCUUUGAGAAAAUGUUCCCAUAAGUUGGAAAGUGACUGUCAGUGUGGCAUGGUGAAUUAUGCUGAACUCUCGUGUAUUUUAUAAGACAAAGUACAGCCGAUUGUUUAAGACAGACGUCCCAGGUGUGGAUGUGUGGGUGCUUAAGACAGCAGACUGCUGCUUUGCUGGGCCAGGCCUGGGUUUAUUUAUUACAAGCAGUUCAGGAAGCACAGACAUCACGUUGUUCACUUGCUUCAUUGAUGAAUGUAAUAAUUGUUCUCGUUCAUGCCCUUUGCCCCUGGUGUCAGGGCUGUCCACACUGGGGACCAUUGGUGCCCCCAUGAUUAUUAGCUCCCUGAAGCCUGGUGGGUCGUCAGGGCUUCUGUCCGGUGUUUAAAGACCCAUCCCAGACAAGCCCAAACCACCUCAGUUUGAAGAGACAUAGAGGGACAGGCAGACGGGGCCUCAGAGGGAUCCAGCCUCAUCCAGCCUCCUGGCAACCUCAGGAGAGCAGGCACAGCCAUGCUGGUUCCCUUCCAGCCCCGACUCCCAGGCUGAGUCGCUUUGCACCAGCUGAACAUCGUGGUUGCAUUUUGGUCUCUACCGUGAGGUCUGUAUUUUCUUGGUGUGCACCGGUGUCUGCCUGUCCACUGUCUCGUACCCAGGAGGCAUGUGCAGUUCUUUGUGUCCCUACAGGGCCUCUCCUCCAUCGUCUUCUCCUUUCCUGGCGCUCCCAGCCUUUCCCAUGGAACAGCCCACAGUUGCAGGAUUUUCUGUCUGUAUGUCUGUCCCCCUGAUCCUGAAGCCCAAAGGUGGUAGGCGUGAAGUUACAGAAGUCUGUGUCUUCAGGUACAAUGAGUAGGUGGCCAGUGGCCAGCUUCUUAGCCCCGUCCUGGUGCUUCCCCGACCCUUCUCAUCCGCUCAGGCCCCUGUCCUCCUUGUACACAGCUGCAGCUCUCCCUGCCAUGUCCACACAAGGCACAAGGGUGUCCCCAGCAGAACUGCAGGCCUGGGAUGCUGGUAUCCAGCACGUUCAAGCCAGGCGGCCUCCGGCAGGCUCUUGCCACACCUUCGUUUCCUUAUCUGUAAACCAGGGAUAGUGGUCUCCCGGCCUCCCCAGGACCCAGCCCUCCCUGGUCUCCCCACCUCCCCGUGGCCCCUGUUUUGAGGCUGAGUCCGCUGCCCCUCAGUGUUAGAUCUCCUCGGAGAGGAACCUGUGGCUUUGCUGCCCAUCCCUGCUUCCUGCCCUCGACUGGGCAGUUCCUUAACAGAUCAGGGAUCAGGAACGUGACUGCCCUUGCUCAUCUGCUGGCCCUCCACAUUUGCCCAGUCCCUCGGUCUCUCUGCCUCCGUUUCCUCCCAGUUUGAUGAGGAUAAUCACGAAGCACAUCAGGACUGUUGGGUUAGAUGAAGUCAUGCAGGUAAAGCUGCUGUGCAGCUGCAGGCAUGUCAGCAUGGCUGGCAGUCUCUGUGCCUGGCUGAGCCUGCUCAGAGCCACAGUGACCUCCCAGGUGUCCUCCUCCCCUGCUCCCGUCGUGACAUCUGGGACUCUAUCCCCCUGCCGCCCUCCAGGGUCUCCUGCUGCUUCUGCCUGUUUGCUCUCUCCUCAGUCUCCCUGCAGAAGAGCUUCCAAGUGGAGGAGUCACAUGACUGGGGUGGCACCGUCAAGGAGAGGCAGUAGCCGCGAGUCCAGUGGGUCUCAGGGCAAGCCAAGUCAAAGGGCUGGGGCCUAAGACAACAGGGAUAGGAGUCAACGCACAUCUGUGAGAUGCUGGGGAAGCAGCAUCAACAUGACUUGGGGACCCCCUGGGCCCACAGCUCUCUGCAUGGAAAGGGAGGAAGGAGCCAAGCUGGGCAACUCCAACAACAUUGCCACCGUGGACAUCUCCGCAGGCUUCGUGGGCUUAGACACCUACGUGGAAAUCCCAGCCGUGCUCCUGACAGCGUUUGGGACGUACGCAGGGCCUGUGCUGUGGGCCAGCCACUUAGUGCACUUCCUGAGCUCAGAAACACGCAGCGGUUCAGCACUGAGUCAUGCUUGCUUCUGCUACGCACUGAUUUGUUCUAUUCCAGUUUCCACAUACAUCGUUUUGGUGACAUCUCUGCGUUAUCAUUUAUUUAUAUGGAGUGUAUUUUCUCCAAAACUUCUCUACGAGGGAAUGCAUCUGCUCAUUACAGCUGCUGUCUGUGUAUUCUUCACGGCAAUGGAUCAAACCAGACUCACACAGUCUUAGACUAAGCUGAACACUGGAAAAAUAAUACAUGCUUAAAGUCUGCUGUUAUUCUAAAAUGAAAGAUAUGAAUUCAACAAAGUUGAUGGAUAAGUUUAAUUUCUUUGACUGCUGUACCUGAAUUUAGACUAAGCAGUAAAUAGUUUAAUAAAAGAUCACUUUAAUAUACA